rnacentral:lncRNA from 1 species
ACAAUGGCCACGACCUGACGCGCGAGCGCCAGCCCCAGCCCGGGAGUCACGCCGCUGGCGCUUGACGCACGCGGAGACCCGGGGGCCGUGCCCCAGCUUUGUGGAACCUGAGGGCGGCUCGGGUCAGGUCGGUCCCCGCGGGAGGACAGGCGCGACCCGUCCCUCAGGACCGACGGCGUGUGGCUGCGGGGGCAUGGGGUGCCCCUCUCGGCCCGGUCGCUCCAGCGAGGGGACGCUGAGCCCCAGCUUUUAAAGGCUUCAUAUUCCUGACAAAUGGAGAUCCACUGACAUGAAGAAAUUCUCAAGCAACUAGGCAACUGGGAUUGUGCAGGGGCUUGCCCCUGAUCCUAUAGUAAAAGGUCCAGCCCUCACUAGCUGAAGCUUUUUAUAGUCUUCAACAACAACCAGUCCCUACAUUUAAGAAGGUUAAUAACUGAGACAGCCUUCCUGGUGGAUCCAUCAUUUGGCCCAGCUUGUAGAAAGAUUCCCAACUAGCUCUAAUUAGUUCCAUCUUAUUUGGAGGCAGAGGUAUUCCUCAUCAUACCCAUAUCCUCAUAUAAAUUGUCCAGUGCCCUAGGUACCAGGGAGAAAGAAGACGAAGAAGGACAUAUACCAGAAGCACAUUAAUAGGCUGCUGAAAAACUCUGCCACACUUUCAGAUGACAGGUCACCUACAGAUAAAUGAUUCAAGGAUCAACCAAGUUCUGAAGUUUUUUUUUGUUUUUUUUUUUUGGGAUAGAGUCUCACUGUGUCACCCAGGCUGGAGUGCAGUGGCGUGAUCUCAGCUCACUGCAACCUCUGCCUCCCGAGUUCAAGUGAUUCUCCUGCCUCAGCCUCCCAAGUAGCUGGGAUUAUAGGUGCCUGCCACCAGGCCUGGCUAAUUAUUUUUUGUAUUUUUAGUAGAAACAUAGUUUCACUAUGUUGGCCAGGCUGGUCUUGAACUCCUGACCUUGUGAUCCACCCGCCUCAGCCUCCCAAAGUGCUGGGAUACAGGUGUGAGCCACCAUGCCCGGCCAGUUCUUAAUACUGCCAGGAGUGCUUUAGAAGGCUGGGAAUAUGGGGCGAAAGAUUAGACACCCAAGCUGUUGAAAACCACACAGAGUUUCAGUAAAUAUAUGCACAAUUUGAAAAAUAUAUUUGCAAAAAUCUAGGUGUCUCCGGUCUAGUCCUUCCUAUUAAUCAAAUAAAUUACCGAGCUUCAUGGCCCAGUCUAUGAUCCUAGUUCUGACCGCUGCUGCCCGUAAAGGCCUCAAUGAAUUCCUCUCUGAGCUUCCAGACUUCCUUGGCUGGUGACUUGUUCCUCUUGGGACAGCUUUUGCUUGAGCUGAGCAGCCUGGCCCCCAGCUGUGCAGGGCCCUCUCUCCGGUGAGAGGAAACGCUUUCAGCUUAGUCUGUUAACACAAACAUUCAAAAGCAAACAUUCAAAAGCCACAGAUCAUGUUCGCAUAAAUAAAAUAGGAUUGAGAAAAGCUUUGCCCCAAGAAACCAAAGGGGUGUUUAAAAAACAGCUCUUGCUUUCCAAGUAGGCAGGCAGCAAAGCCACAGCAAUUCCAAAGGUUUGUGUGCUUGGUAGAGCUGGGUGGCUGCAGCCGCAGGCCUUUGAAGAGGAAAUGCCAUCCCUGGUACAGGCAGGCGGCCAACCCAUGAGUCCUGAAAGUACCAGAGAGAAGCAGAAAGCAGGGGAGCACAGUUAGGAAGUGAAAAGGGAGAGGAAGGCACCAAGGAGAUAAAUGAGGAGACUCUUCUUAUCUAGAGUUCCCACCCCAGACCUAAGAGCUACAGGACAGAGGAACUCACUGUGCCUGACAGAGCUGGGGCCUGGUGAGUCCUAGGUGGCGGGCACAGCCCAGAGUGACUAAGGCUGUGAGGAGGGGUGUGCGCCGUCACUGAGGGGUGGAGAGGGGUGGUGGUGUCUGGGCUGGGAGAUGCCUUUGCUUUGAAAGCUUUGGAGGAAAUUAACUUUACAAGGUGCCUCCCUGUCUCCCAGAGUUAUUAAAAGAAAGGAGGGAGCAAAGAAGAAAUGGAAAAAUGGUAAUACCUCAGGAAGGGCUGUGUGAUCCCAACUGGAGGAAAUGGGAGGCAGAUGAAGUGACGAAUGUGCAACCUCUCCUAAGGGAGGAAGAGCUCUGAAUGUGACCUUGUGCAAAUGGAAAAAAAAAAAAACAAACAAACAAAAACACACACAAAUCCAACAAGAGCCAGUGUGACUAACGAGAAAACACACACACAUGCAAACACACACACAUACAGCCCUUUGAAGAUCUAGAAAUGAGUGACUAAUUAAAUAGCCUAAAAACCUCCAAGUGCAUAAAGUUUCUGUCAGUACUCCUGUUUCAAUAAAGCAGCAGUGAAAGCCCAUAGAAUGGCAGGAGU